ensembl:snRNA U6 U6 spliceosomal RNA
GGGCUCGCUUCAGCAGCACAUAUACUAGAACUGGAACGGUUCAGAGAAGAUCAGCACGGCCCCUGCACAGGAUGACAUGCCAAUCUGUGAAGUGCUUCAUAUUUUU